UCCAGGAACCAGAUGUUGGCCAGAGCCUGUAUCCUCUGACUCUAGACAAGAUGAGGAAACUGGCAAUAAGAAAAUAAAAUGAUAGGCAGCAGCACCUAUCACAGAGGAAGUGGCAGAUCAUGGCCAAGGUUGAGACAUGAGAAAUACUCGAAGCCCACCAACCACCCUCCAAAAGACCACAGAAGAAAAAAAAAAACACUUCAGAACAAAUACUGGAGGGGCAGAACAAAUGGCAGAAGGGGUGAAGCAGUGCUCUGAUUCUGAACAACACUGAGAGACAUCAAGGAGGACUCAUCUCACUUGGGUAAAAGAAGAAGCAUGAAAAAAAUCUAAGAGUUAGAAGAGAUUCCAGAGACCAUUUUCAGGUUUGAGCUGGAGCCCUCCUACUAGAGAAAGUAAUCUGAGCAAGUCAUGUUGUUUCCUGUUCCUGAUUUGUAAAUAAAGGGUUAGGAGAAAAAUGA